AACACACAAUCUGCUGGAGGAACUCAGCGGGUCGGGCAGCAUCUGUGGGGGGGAAUGGACAGUCGACAUUUCGGGUCGAGACCCUUCACCUGGACUGAAAGACAGAGGGGAGACGGCUGGUAUAAGGAGAGCGCUGGUGUGAGAGAGGAGAUGAAGCUGGAACUGAGGUGCUGUAGGUGGAACGUAGGUCCUGACGGGCAGGAGCCUUGCCACAUCACCAAUCUCGGAUGCUGCCUAGCCUGCUGAGUUCCUCCAGCAUCAGAGUGGUUUUCAUCCAGUAGUGAAUGGUGGUGGACAAUUGAACAGCCAAUGGGAAGUGGCUCCCCUACUCUGUGACAGUGGGGCCAAGCGUGUGGGUGCUGGAG